rnacentral:rRNA from 1 species
UCCUACGGGAGGCAGCAGUGGGGAAUAUUGGGCAAUGGAGGCAACUCUGACCCAGCAACGCCGCGUGAGGGAAGAAGGUUUUCGGAUUGUAAACCUCUGUCCUUGGGGACGAAGAAAGUGACGGUACCCAAGGAGGAAGCCCCGGCUAACUACGUGCCAGCAGCCGCGGUAAUACGUAGGGGGCGAGCGUUGUCCGGAAUUACUGGGCGUAAAGGGUGCGUAGGCGGUUGCCUAAGUCAGAUGUGAAAUCCCCGGGCUUAACUCGGGUGGUGCAUUUGAAACUGGGCGGCUUGAGUGCAGGAGAGGGAAGCGGAAUUCCUAGUGUAGCGGUGAAAUGCGUAGAUAUUAGGAGGAACACCAGUGGCGAAGGCGGCUUUCUGGACUGUAACUGACGCUGAGGCACGAAAGCGUGGGGAGCAAACAGGAUUAGAUACCCUUGUAGUCA